GGCAACCUGCUGAGGUCCCCUUCCACACUGUUGAAGCUUUGUUCUUUUGCUCUUUGCACUAAAUCUUGCUACUGCUCACUCUUUGGGUCCACACUGCUUUUAUGAGCUGUAACACUCACCGUGAAGGUCUGCAGCUUCACUCCUGAAGCCAGCAAGACCACGAACCCACCAGGAGGAAUGAACAACUCCAGACGCACCACCCUAAGAGCUGUAACACUCACCGCGAAGGUCUGCAGCUUCACUCCUGAGCCAGCGAGACCAUGAACCCACCAAAAGGAAGAAACUCUGAACACAUCUUGACAUCAGAAGGAAGAAACAAACUCCAGACACGCCACCUUUAAGAACUGUAAUAACACUCACCGCGAGGGUCUGCGGCUUUGUUCUUGAAGUCAGUGAGACCAAGAACCCACAAUUCUGGACUCAAUAACUUUAUUCAUAAUUACCAAAAAUGAGAAAAAAACAAGAUGUACUUCAAUAGGACCGCGGCGGCUAGGUCACCUCCUCCGGACGCCGACACGCGCUGCCCUGGCAACCGUCACCAGGGAAACAAGCGACGUCACUUGCGCGUUUUCAACGCUACUCUACGGGGGCCGAGGGGGCGCCAAGAGUUCUGAAAGUGACAGAGGCGCUGAUGGCGCGCUGGGCUGGAUCCAAGCGAGCACGAUCUCGAGUGCGCUGGAGAUUUUAAAUCUUCUGGAGUAUAUUUUUAAAAAAGUUUUGUGGACCAAACGUUCUGCACAGAGAUGCCCAUUCCGCUCUCCUGUUGGGGAGUUAAAAAGCGAACGAUCUCACCAUGAAAUUUAAAGUAGCCAUUCAGAUAUAUUUGAAAAAUGUAAAACAGUGUGGGGAAAGGCCAUGUUAUGAUGGUGAGUGAAGGAAGCAGGACGCAAUAUAGCAAUGCUAAAUAAAUAAAGUUGUGUUUAUUUCAAACUAGGCACUAAAACAAGACCGAAAUAGAAAUAUUAAAAGUGGUUAUAUUUGGGUGGUGGAAUAGCAGUGCUGUGUUUUUAUUUUUACACUUUAGAGAAUUUUUAAAAUAAUGAACAUCGUUUAUUUUCAUAAAGGAAAAUACUUGUUUUUUUUUUUUUAAAUGGCACCUUCCAAUGUAAGACACUACUAUAUUUCAGGGCAAUAUGGGGGUGGGAGGCAAAUUUCUAGGAAAGAUGAUUCAAGGGAGAUUUCUUUCUAUCUAUCUAUCUAUCUAAUCUAUCUAUCUAUCUAUGAUAGAGUCUCGCUGUGUCGCCCAGGCUGGAGUGCAGUGGUGCGAUCUCAGCUCAUUGCAACCUCCAUUUCCCAGGUUCAAGCGAUUCUCCUGCCUCAGCCUCCUGAGUAGCUGGGAUUACAGGCACCCGCCACCACACCUGGCUAAUUUUUUUAUUUUUAGUGGAGACGGGGUUUCACCAUGUUGACCAGGCUGGUCUUGAACUCCUGACCUCAGGUGAUCCGCCCACCUUGGCCUCCUAAAGUGCCGGGAUUACAGGCGUGAGCCACAGCUCCUGCCCAAAUAUUUAUCCAGGACUUCAUAAUUUGAAAACCUUGGCAGUUGUUUUUCUAUUUUUUUUCCUCAUAAGGUGAAUGAAUACCCAUCCCAUAGACAUGCAUACAUAAGAUACGGCACUAGACUGCCAUCAGCACUGCAGGUAUAAACCCGAAGUUUCCUGAUAAAGGAAAAAUGGAUCUUUCCCGUUGGUCUCCAAUUGCUGCCUGGUGAGCUGAGGGUGGGAGACGUAUAAUAUACAGGUGGCAGCAAAGAGAGACAGGAUAAAGAGUAGGAUUCAGGUAGAUGUGAGCCUCAAAGGAUUAGGGUUUUUUUUAAAUGGUGUGUGUAGUGGGGAGUAUCAUUCGUUUGCCUCAUGACCACGAUGGGACUAUGUGGCAUAGGAAAAGGAAUAGCCAGGUCUACUUAGAGGGCUUCUGGAAAGCAUGGAUCCUAGCAGAAAGCCAGGUUUUCAUUAAAAUAAGAACAUGCUGUGAGAAAAUUAAGGAUGCAAGAGAAUUUCAGAACCGACAUUCUAGAAUGUAUGUAUUAGAAAGUUUGGGAAAGGGGUAACAUUUGCUCCAGCAAUCCAAGGAUUAUUUUUGACGAGGAUAUCAUUUUUGCAGUAACCCAUUUUUUAAAAAGCAGGGAUGAUUUUCCUCUAGGUUUGUUACUUUUCCACGGUCACCACUAAGGCUCUCAUGCCAUUUUUUUUUUCUGCCCAAAAUUCUUUUGAGAAUUUUCUUUAGUUUAUAAGCUUGACAUUUUAUCAUCCAAGAAGCUGGCGAAUCCAAUCUGGGUCACCAGUAUUUCCUCAUGUACAGUAUACAGAUGUUUGUUAAUUCCAGCCCACUUUGUUUCUCUAGCCAGAAGUAUCUGUAGGACACUGCCCUUUGUUUUUUGCUUUUUAAUUUGAAAUUAUAUUGAGAUUUUUAUAGAAUCACAUGCAGUUGUAAAAAAUAAUAGAGAUCCCCUGUAUACUUUUCCAGUUCUCCACAAUGAUAUUUUGCAGAACUUUAGUAUAAUAUUACAACCAGGAUAUUGACAUCGAUACAACCUACUCCUCUUAGAUUUCUCCAAUUUAACUGUACUUUUCUUUUGAUUUAUCACGUGUCAGUUUGUGUAUCCAUGACCAUCAAGAUAUCAAAUACUAGCCGGGCAUGGUGACUCAUGCACGCCUAUAAUCCCAGCAUUUUGGGAUGCUGAGGCAGGCAGAUCACUUGAGGCCAGGAGUUCAAGACCAGCCUGGUCAACAUGGCAAAAUCCUAUAUCUACUAAAAAUAACAAAAAUUAGCCAGGCAUAGUGGUGCUUGCCUGUAAUCCCAGCUACUUGGGAGGCUGAGGCAUGAGAAUCGCUUGAACUCAGGAAGUGGAGGUUGCAGUGAGCUGAGAUCGCGCCAUUACACUCCAGCCUGGGCGACAAGAGUGAGACUCUGUCUCAAAAAAAAAAAAAGAUACCAAAUACUAUCACAAGGAUCUCUCUGUUGUGAUUUUAUGACUAUGUACACUUCCCUCCCUCCUCCUGCCCUAGUCCCUAACCCUUUACAACCACCAGUCUGCCCUCCAUUUCUAAAAUUUUGUCAUUUCAAAAAUGUUAUAUAAAUGAAAUAACUCAGCAUGUACACUUUUUAGGAUGGAUUUUUUUUUUUUUUUACUCAGAACAAUUCCUUGGAGAUUCAUCCAAGUUGUUGUGUGUAUCAAUAAUCCAUUCCUUUUUAUUGCUGAGUAGUUCUAGUAUGAAUGUACCAGUUUGUUUAACCAUUUACCCACUGAAAGACAUCUGGGUUGUUUCCAGUUAGGAGCAAUUAUGAUUCAGCUGCUAUAAACAUUCAUGUAUAGGUUUUUGUGUGAACAUAAGUUUUCAUUCCUAUGGAAUAAAUGCCCAAGAGUGCAAUUGCUGUGUAGUAUGGUAACUGCAUAUCUAGUUUUAGAAGAAAUUGCCAAACCUGUUUUCCAGAGUGACUGUUCCACUUUACAUUCUUACCAGAAAUGUUUAAGUGACACAGUUUCUUCACAUCCUUGCCAGCAUUUGAUGUCACUAUUUUUAUUUUAGUCAUUUUAAUAGGUGUGUAGUGAUAUCAUUGUGGUUCUAAUGUACGUGACGGAUAAUGAUAUUGAACAUCUUUUUCAUGUGCUUAUUUGUCAUCUGUAUAUUUUCUUUGGUGAAGUGUCUGUUCAUGUCUUUUGCCCAAUUUCUAACUGUCGAGUUUUGAGAAUUCUUUAUAUAUUCUAUAUACUAGUCCGUUGUUGGAUACGUAGUUUGCAAAUACUUUCUCCGAAUCUGUAGUUCAUCUUUUAAUCCUCUUCACUUGGGCUUUCACAGAACAAAAGGCUUUGAUUUUGACAAGGUCCAAUUUAUCAAUUCCUUCUUUAAUGGAUUGUGCUUUUGAUUUCAAGUCUAAGAAAGAACUCUUUGCCUAGCCCUGGGUCCCAAAGAUUUCCCCCCAUUUUUAUAAAAGUGUUAGAGUUUUAUGCCCAUGAUUUAUUUUGAUGUAAUUUUUAUAUAAAGGUAUGAAAUUUAGAUCAAGGUUCUUUUUUGCUUUUUUGCCUAUGGUGUCCAGUUGUUCCAGCACCAUUUGUUGGAAAGCUAUGCUUCCUCCAUUGAAUUGCUUUUGCACCUUUGUCAAAAAUCAGGUUAGCUAUCUCAACAACAAAACCCAAUUCAAAAAUGGGCAAAGGACUUCAAUAGACAUUAAUCCAAAGAAGAUAUACAAAUGGCAAAUAAGCACAUGAAAACAUGCCCAACAUCACUAACCAUUAGAGAAAUGCAAACCAAAACCACGAGAUACCAUUUCACACCCAUUAGGAUGGAUAUUAUCCAAAAAAUGGAAAAUAACAAGUGUUUGCCAGGAUGUGAAGAAUUUGGAACCCUUAUGUAGAGCUAGUGGGAAUGUAAAAUGGUAUAUCCACUGUAGAAAACAGUUUGGUGGUUCCUCAAAAAGUUAAACAUUGAAUUACCGUAUGAUUUACAAUUCCACUUCUAAAUAUAUGCCCGAAAGAUUUGAAAGAAGGGACUUGGCCAGACACAGUGUCUCAUGCCUGUAAUCCCAGCCCUUUGGGAGGCUGAGGUAGAGGACUGCUUGAGGCCAGGAACUCGAGACCAGCCUGGUCACCAUAGCGAGACCUUGUCUCUACAAAAAAAGUAAUAAUAAAAAAUAAAGAAGGGACUCAAACAGGUAAUUGUAUGCCAGUGUUCAUAGCAGCAUUAUUCACGAUAGCCAGAAGGUAGAAACAACCCAAGCAACCUUCAACAGAUGAAUGAGUAAACAAAAGGUGGUAUAUAUACUCCACAGAAUAUUCAGCCUUAGAAAAGAAUGAAAUUCUGAAUUCUGGAUGAACCUUGAAAACAUUAUGCUAAGUGAAAUAAGCCAGACACAAAAUGGCAAAUAUUGUACGAUUCCAUGUAUAUUAGGUACCUAGAAUGAACAAAUUCAUAGAGACAGAAAGUAGAAUAGAGGAUGCUAGGGAGUGGAAGAACGGGGCAAGUAGAGAGGUUUGGGGGUUUUUGUUUGUUUUUGAGACAGGGUCUCGCUCUAUCGCCCAGGCUGGAAUGCAGUCGUGCAAUGACAGCUCACUACAGCCUCAACCACCUGGGCUCAGGUUAUCUUCCCACCUUAGCAUCCCAAGUAGUUGGGACCACAGGCUCGCACCACCACACCGAGCUAAUUUUUGUAUUUUUUGUAGAGAUGGUGUUUCGCCAUGUUGCCCAGGUUGAUCUCGAACUCCUGGGCUCAAGCGAUCUGCCUUGACCUCCCAAAGUGCUAGGAUUAUAGGUGUGAGCCACCACAUCCAACCAGAAGUUAUUCUUAAAGGGCAUGGAGUUUCUGUUUGGGCUGAUGAAAAGACUUUAGAGGUGGAUGGUGGUGAUGGUUACAUAGCAUUUUGAAUAUACUUAGUUCCACUGUAUUGUACACUUAAAAAUGGUUAAAAUGGUAAUUUUUAUAUGUAUAUUUACCACAAUAAAGGUUUUAAAAAUCAGCUGUGCAUACUUGUGUGGGUGUAAUGGCUUUUUUUCCUAAUCCCUAAAUUAGGUUCUCCCCACAGUUCCAUGUAGUUCCAACUUUAAAGUGGGACUUUUAC
rnacentral:lncRNA from 1 species